rnacentral:rRNA from 1 species
CCUACGGGAGGCAGCAGUGGGGAAUAUUGCACAAUGGGGGAAACCCUGAUGCAGCGACGCCGCGUGAGUGAAGAAGCGUUUCGGCGCGUAAAGCUCUGUCAGCGGGGAAGAAACACGGUUCGCGAGAGCCGCGGACGGUACCCGACCAAGAAGCCCCGGCUAACUCCGGGCCAGCAGCCGCGGUAAUACGUAGGGGGCAAGCGUUAUCCGGAUUCAAUGGGUGUAAAGGGAGCGUAGACGGCGAGACAAGUCUGGAGUGAAAGGGCGGGGCCCAACCCCGGGACUGCUUUGGAAACUGCCUGGCUGGAGUACAGGAGAGGUAAGUGGAAUUCCUAGUGUAGCGGUGAAAUGCGUAGAUAUUAGGCGGAACCCCAGUGGCGAAGGCGGCUUACUGGACUGUAACUGACGUUGAGGCUCGAAAGCGUGGGGAGCAAACAGGAUUAGAUACCCUUGUAGUC